GACGAACGCUGGCGGCGUGCUUAACACAUGCAAGUCGAACGGAAAGGCCCUGCUUUUGUGGGGUGCUCGAGUGGCGAACGGGUGAGUAACACGUGAGUAACCUGCCCUUGACUUUGGGAUAACUUCAGGAAACUGGGGCUAAUACCGGAUAGGAGUUCCUGCUGCAUGGUGGGGGUUGGAAAGUUUCGGCGGUUGGGGAUGGACUCGCGGCUUAUCAGCUUGUUGGUGGGGUAGUGGCUUACCAAGGCUUUGACGGGUAGCCGGCCUGAGAGGGUGACCGGCCACAUUGGGACUGAGAUACGGCCCAGACUCCUACGGGAGGCAGCAGUGGGGAUUAUUGCACAAUGGGCGGAAGCCUGAUGCAGCAACGCCGCGUGCGGGAUGACGGCCUUCGGGUUGUAAACCGCUUUCGCCUGUGACGAAGCGUGAGUGACGGUAAUGGGUAAAGAAGCACCGGCUAACUACGUG
rnacentral:rRNA from 1 species